AAAAAGACAAACUCUGGGUUUUCGUAUCCAAUGUUUGACCGUUCGUCUUAUUUAAAAAAAUUAUGAAAAAAUUAAAAAGAUAAGUCACGCAUAAAGUAUUAAUCAUGUUUUAUCAUCUAACAACAAUAAAAAUACUAAUUAUUAAAAAUUUUCAUAUAAGACGGACAGUCAAACGUUGGACACGGAAAUCAGAGUUUGUCUUUUUU
rfam:Oryza glumipatula chromosome 6, whole genome shotgun sequence.